GUGAAAUCUUCUGACUUAAUCAGAAGACGUCACUUGAAACUGGAGGGCUUGAGGGUAGUAGAAGGAAAUGGAAUUCCCGGUGUAGCGGUGAAAUGCGUAGAUAUCGGGGAGAACACCAGUGGCGAAGGCGAUUUCCUAGGCUAUUCCUGACGCUGAGGCUCGAAAGCGUGGGGAGCGAAGCGGAUUAGAUACCCGCGUAGUCCACGCCCUAAACGGUGGACACUAGAUAUAGGAGGUAUCGACCCUUUCUGUGUCGAAGCUAACGCUUUAAGUGUCCCGCCUGGGGACUACGGCCGCAAGGUUGAAACUCAAAGGAAUUGACGGGGGCCCGCACAAGCAGCGGAGCGUGUGGUUUAAUUCGAUGAUACACGAAGAACCUUACCAGGGCUUGACAUGUCAAAAGUAGGAAUCCGAAAGGAGGACCAUCUGUAUCCAGUCAGAAGUUGACACAGGUGCUACAUGGCUGUCGUCAGCUCGUGCCGUGAGGUGUUGGGUUAAGUCCCGCAACGAGCGCAACCCUUGUCCUGUGUUAUAUUCUCACAGGAGACUGCCUUGUACAGCAAGGAGGAAGGAGAGGAUGACGUCAAGUCAGCACGGCCUUUAUGUCCUGGGCUACACACACGCUACAAUGGACGCUACAGAGGGUUGCUAGGGAGCGAUCCUGAGCCAAUCCCUAAAAAGCGUCCUCAGUUCGGAUUGCAGGCUGAAAUCGUCUGCAUGAAGUCGGAGUUG
rnacentral:rRNA from 1 species